rfam:Erythrobacter litoralis strain DSM 8509 contig7, whole genome shotgun sequence.
ACACUUCACAUUAAGCGCAGAACGCCUAUAUCGGAUGCGUCGGAGCGAUCCGACUAUGACGAUAAAUUGCAGCGUGCAAUAGGCACAACGGACCCGGGGGCAGUACCCGGCGGCUCCACCAUAAACCCCGGGAAACCGGGGGUUCUGACGGGGCCGAACCAGGAUCGACGUGGGCUGAAAAGCGUUGUUUUCGUCCGGGCUGAGUAACCCGUUAAAGGCUCAAAACCCAUAAGUGCCAACGAUAACGAAGCACUCGCUCUCGCUGCGUAAUUUUAAGGCCUAACGGCCUGAAUUUACAAAGCUAAAGCGCGGUUGGACCCACCGGGCAACAGAAGCGGAUUCCG